UAUAUGAGACUUUGAGGUGCAUGCAUAAUCACUGUCAUGCAGAACAGUACCAAAAGGUCAGCUUUUCAGUGGAGUCAGUGAAAAAGAUUUCAUUUGGGAUCACCCAAUAGUAAAAAUAAUAAUAAUAAUAAUAUUAAUAAUAAUAAUGCAUGUUUGACACUAUAAAUAUCAACUGAUUAAAUCCUAUCAGAAAAUGAAAACAAGAACAAAAUAGAUAGAUACAAGGUUUACUGCAUGAAAGUGGUAAUAUGCCACAGUAGAAAAGAAGAACACUAAAAACAUGUCACAUGUCCAAAAAGGUUUCUUCUCCCCAAUUCCAUGUUUACAGUGUGUUAGCUUACAAGGAAAGCAGGGAGAGUUUGCUGUGUCAAGGAGGACAGCAGUCUCUCUCCCUGCAGGUCACCACAGCAUCAGCGUUGGCUGACGGCCAGGCCUCCACUGAUAAGCAGCUUCUCUCUCUGCUCUCUCUCUGCAUCCCCUAGAGGGCAAUCAUUUACCCCUUUGAAUUUGCACUGCCCAGCCCCCAACCGGUACAGCACUCACUGCCUCUCCCCUCCUGCUUCAAUCUCAUGUGGUGACACAUUAGACAUGCAGCGAGAGGAUCCUGCCCUGCCUCUCCCCUGCUCACUCCCCCCACACCACCCAACCCACCCCAGGCAGUGCAUGGGCACUUUUGCACCAAGAUAUUGAGAUAUAGCUUCAGAUUAAUUUCCACCGGCAGCGCCACACUGUGAGACGCUCAUGUCGCGACUGACUGCUGAGGUGGCUAAAGAUCAGCUGCUUCUGAAGGCCCGCCUGCCAGGCCCAAGUGAUUUGAACAGAUAUACUCAUACAUCUGUGUGGAUGUAAAAAUCCUGGCUUACGCUCAUUCUAUAGCCUGUGACAUUUUAGCUUUCAUUUGGGAUAUACAGUAUGUGCCUGAACACAUCCUCCUAACAUUAUAUAGUCUUUGGGGUCUAUUUCUCUUUUUUAUGAUUUUACUGAAAUCAUCAAAAAAUAGUUGAAUGUAGAUUUGUAGCACUGCUAACGAGUGCAUUACCACACACACUUAUAGGACCUGCGUAUUCAGAGGUGUAUAAUAACGGGUGAAGCUUUAGCCCAGUGCCUUUUAAGAAUUCUCAUUGUCACAUUACAUGGCUCCUGCUGGACCCCUUCCCCCAUCAAUAAUAGCCUCCUCCUCUGAGCAGUGGUGCAUUACAGUAAAUUAGAUGGAGCUUUUAUAAUGGGCAAAACGGGCCCAUCAGUGAGGAAAGGCAGAGAGUGAAAAAGAAAGAAAGAACCAAGGAGAGAAAGGGUGAGAGUGAAGCAUGAGAAAGAAAUAAAUGAGACAGUUAAAGGAAAAAAAAGUGUGAGGAAGAGAUUUAGUGAGAGGAGCAUAGUGAGAUAGAGUGGGAGCAAGAGAAGUGAGCAUGAGAGAGCAAUGAUGCGAGUGAAGAAGACAAGGAGACAGACGAAAAAAGAAAAAGAGAAACAAGAAGAGGAGGAAGAGAAAUAGUAAGAGAGAGUGACUAUGAGAGAAAAGUGAGAAAAAAAUGAAAGUAGAGAAAAAAGCAGCAAUAAAAGGAGCGUGAGAGAGAAAUACAGUAAGAUAAAGGGGAAAAGGGGGAGACAGGUAAAGGUAAAAGUGUGAAUCAGUGAGAGAGACAGAAAGCUUUGAGACACAAGGGUAAACAUGAGAGUAAUAAAGCUAUAAACUCUAAAAUAAAAAAGAAGACAGGUAGAGAGACAACAGAGAGAAAGACAGAAAGAACAGCAAUAGAAAUUGACAGGUAAGAGAAAGAGCUAAUAAUAAUAAUAACAUGAAUAAACUGAGAGGAACCCAACGAGAGAAAAAGAAAAUGGUGACCAGAGAGAGGGAGAGAGAGAGAGAGAGAGCUCCAGGUGGGAAUGACUCAUCUCCUGGCCGACUCUUAUCAUCCCAAGACUGGGGGCUAAUGCCCCACACCCUCCUCCCAGUCCAGCAGCACAGAAGGAAGGGAUCGAUAGGCAGCCCUGACUAGCCGCUAUCUGAUAUUGAAGAUGCUGGAAUGUAUUUCUGAAUAGCCCCCAGACAGGUGUGUUCGAUAUGUCUUCAAUCUCCUCAGCUCACAAAAGGCCAAGCUCAGAUUAGGUAACUGCAGGCCUAAGCACCAUGGCAGCCGCCCUCACUAAUGAAAUUCUUCCCUUUCAGACUCACACCUCUGAUUAUUAUUCCAUUCCAGCAUAGAUUUCUUUGUAUGUAAAGUUAUUAUUUGUUUAUUUUUUUCUUUGCUUUUCAGAGCAAACAGUGAAGAGCAAAUGUAACAGUCUGAGCAGAGGCCAUUCUGUAUGAGUGGAGAGUCACAUUCACAUAAAUGAGUUAACUUGCUCAACAUCCUGGCCGUUGAUUAGGAAUGCGGCGGAUAGCUUUGGUCUGAGGGGACGUGGCCCGGCUAACGGCUGCCGUUAGACGUGUGAAGUCGGAGCUCGGUUCAGUAGGCAUUUCCAAGAUUUCCACAGUCUCAGCAGCACAGGAAUGCACUUUUAGCCAGGAGUAUCUCUCUCCUUCCAUUGCUUCAUUUUCCCCAGUGGAAACAGCAUGGCUGUGGAGAAUGGGUCUGAUGCUUCGCAGACUCUUCAACCACCGAGGCUUGACGAGAAUGUAAACAAGGUGUUCUUAACACUCUGAUUGCUUGUACAAUGCACCGUUUUGAUCUCAGCUGUUCCUGAAGUUUAAGAGCUGAAUUAGUAAGCUGUCAAGGGCUUACUCACAAAUUGCUCAUAGCGACUCGAAAAUUGAAGUUCUCUCUCCUCUGCAAGCCUCUUCAGAGCACUCCAUCCUCAGGGCAGGCUAAUUUAAAGUUAAUUACCUGGUGCCUGGAUAGAGAGACAGGGCCUGAGCCGGAGCACACCAAACACGUGCAGGCGGCGCGAGCAGCAAACUGCAGG